rnacentral:lncRNA from 1 species
GGCGUUCAAAGGAGUCUCGAGCCAAUGCCUCGGUGGGGCAAUAUUCCAGCAGCAACUUUCCAAUCUCGAUGUGUUUCGUCCGAGAAUGGAAGCGUGGAUUGGCGGCUAGUGCAAGAGCACUUUGGUUGUCCGAGAACAGCACCAUAGGGCCGGUGCAAGCAAGAAUCUGGGGCAGGUCACGGCAGAACUGGGUCAACCAAAUCGCUUCUUUGUUAGGGCAAUGUACUCCUGCCUCUGUCGACACCAGCGGCCGGCGCUUACUGCUCCAGGACACAGCAGCCCCAUGGAGCAAGAACGCAUACCCGGAGGUAGAGCGCCUUGAGUCCUGGUCGCCCGCCCAGUCCGCAUCCGAGUAUCCAUGAAGUUCCUGUGACACAGCAGCGCUAUAGUGAAGCUGCAAAUGCAAGGUACCUCGAACGUAGCGGAAAAUCUGCUUCACAGCUUGCCAAUGUGCAGGUCCGGGGUUCUCGAGGAACUGGGAGACCAUCCCAACAGCAUAGGCGAGAUCUGGUCGUGUUCCCAGCAUCAAAUAAACAAGACUUCCCACAGCUUGACGAUAUGGCACCGUGGACAUGUACUCGCGUUCUUCCUCUGUGACAGGGGCCAUGUCACGGCUGAGUUUGUGAUUGACCUCAAGAGGUGUGGCCACGGGAGAGCAGUCCAGCAUAUUGAAGCGUUCCAAGAUCUCCCUUGCAUAAUGAGCUUGUGUCAAACUCAAGGUGCGUGCUCCUCGACUGUGUAAAAUUUGGAUGCCAAGGAAAUGGCAAAGCUCGCCCAGGCCAGACAUCUCAAAUUCUUCACUCAGCUUCUUUUUCAUCUCGUCCAGCAGGUGGCGGGUUUUUGCACCGAGAAUGCAGUCGUCAACGUACACAGCAACCAGGAGAAAAUCGUCACCACACUUGUACAGGUACACGUUUCCUUCCACUGCAAGAGGAACACACCCCAGGCUCUUGAAGAACACAUCAAUGCGUUCAAACCAAACCCUCGGGGAUUGUUUAAGCCCAUACAGGGCGCGAUUCAUCUUGCAAAUAAGAUGUUCCUCACCAGGUUUGACGAAUCCAGGUGGUUGCGUGAUGUAGACCUCCUCGUUCAACUUGCUAUGCAGGAAAGCAGUGCGAAUGUCCAACUGGUGCAGUUCCAGGUUGUACUUGGCAGCCAGUGCAAGGAUCACUCGCGCAGAGGUCAACUUCACAACUGGUGAGUACGUCUCCAUGUAUUCCAAACCUGGAAUCUGGCUGAAUCCCCGUGCGACAAACCUGGCCUUGAACUUUGCUACAGUUCCAUCAGGUUUGUACUUGACUGUGUAAAUCCAUUUCGUCACAAGGUGAGCACCUUCAGGUAAAGUUGUCUUUGUCAUUGUAUUGUUUCGCUCAUGCAAAUGCAUUUCAGCAUUCAUGGCAUGAGGUCCAGCUAAUGCUUUGUCAACAUUCGCUGGAAUGGGGAUUCGCUUUGGAUUAGCAGCCACGAAGUUAGUCUGGUGUGUUCCUUUCUUUUUAAUUUUUCCAAAACUAAAGAAGGGACAAGAUUGCUCAGCUUCCAGUUGCAGCCGCAAUGGUACGGGAACUCGAGCAGAGCGCCAAGGUUCAGGACGUGCUGGAGGGUGGAUCACAGGUGGUGGAACAAGUGGAGAGUCUGGGAGAGCUCCCACUGAAGUUGGCAACCUGCUUCCAGCUCCCACUGAAGGUGAUGAUCCACGUCCAGCUCCCACUGAAGAUGAGCCGAGGAAGAACUCAGGAGCAGCUUGAAAUUCCUCGUCGCCCUUGAAGUAAGUGUUCAUCAGCUCUUCAGAGAAGCUAGGUGUUCUCACUGGAGGAGCUUCUGGCAGAGGUGUAGCUGGAGGGUGUGGUGGCAGUGCUGGAGGAACCACCACGUUACCACCAGCAGGAGCAAGAGGCAGCAACGGGACUUGAGAAGGAGCUGUAGUCUCGUGAAUUGUGUCCACCAGCUGGAGUUCCAUGAAAGUAGGAGCAGGAACUUCAGCGCGAUCCUUGUACAGCUUGCUCUCAUCAAAGAGCACGUCCAUCUUUGAGAGAAUAAAGGUGAUAUCCUUUCAUGCCUUCCAAAUAUCUGAGGAAAAUGGAUGGCUCAGCCUUUGACUCCAGCUUUCGGUGUUGCUUUUGUGGAACGUGUGCGUAGGCAAAACAGCCAAAAAUGCGGAGAUGAUCGUAACCCAAGUGCGUGACUAGUCCAAAGUUCAUAAGGAGUAGUCUUCUCAGGCAGGGCACGUGCUGGCAACCAGUUUCGAACAUAAACAGCCGUGUUAACUGCCUCUCCCCAGAAAGCAGCCGGCAUUCCCGCGUGAAGCAGCAUACAGCAUGCAGCUUCUAUGAUGGUGCGAUUCACCCUCUCGGCAGCACCAUUCUGGGC